UGAAAGAGUUUUAGGUUUUUUAUACUUAAUCUUUUGUCUUGAAAUCCUGCUUAAGGCAUUCAAGAGUAUCAAUUAUUGCAACGUGUAGUUGCAAAAUUAGAAGAGCAUACAAAUUUCCUUAUUGAGGCGUCUCAAAGGUUUUGUUUGAGUCGUUUUGCAAACAUUUCCGGCAAGGUAGCCUUCUAUCAAGCGAAGAAGCUCCUUUCGGACGUUCUAUUUUACAGGUAUCCCUAAACAGUUAGGGGAUUCCAAACCUUGCCUUUACCGGCAGUUUCUGUAGUACUCAGAGUAUUGACAUAGAACAAUGAUCAGGGGGCUUCGAUGGUAAGAUUUCAAUAGGAUGCUGUUUAUAGGUUUAGUUCUUCAGAAAUUUGUCAACUUUAAAAAGAACCAAAUAGCUACGGUAUUCACGUUUUUACGAUGCGAUUGUUCCACCUUUCAAAGAUCGAGCACAGUUACUUGUUUCCUUUCAAACUCUGUUCACCCAAACAAGCUUACCACAACCAAACUCAUCACGGCGCUACCCACGGCAAAAGUUCAAUACCACUCUUUGGUGUUUGACCUACUCAAUACUGACAAUAGACAGGAUUACAAUAGUGCGGCCGCAUUUCAGGCAACAAAACCCGGAGUCAAAAUUGAACAAUCUCACAACCACAGCAUUAUAUAUCAGCAGUAACUCUCGGACGGUUUUUAAUUUUUUGGUAAAAAACUUGAUAUAUCAGCAAUAGCAGAUACGGUAACAAACUGGCAACAAUGAGAAAGAAAUCCCUUUCGACACAACUUAACAUCGGCAGUUUCGGAGGCAAGUUUCGGUCAAAAACACAUAAUUUCAUCGAUGAAAGUGUGUUUUGAGAAAAUUACGUUACGUUGAAAUCAAAUUUACGAGUUCGGUUGUUCUUUGUUAAUGUGUAUUGAUUGAGUUUUAUUGUCACUGUUUUUGUUAAGAACAAAAAAUAUCUUUUGAAGGAGUUAUUUUUUCAAAGUGAAGAACAAGAAAAUAUGCAGAAAUAUUUAGAAAGAAGAGAGGAACAUCAACAGCAACAUCAACAUCAAGACAAGAUCAAAAUCCGAUAGAAGGAGCGAAAUUGAAAUUAUGUUUUUGGAAAUUUUCGAAGAAGCGCAUUUUGAAAAAAAAAAAACAAAAGAAGAAAAUAACAAAAACAAAAAAUAGUCAGGCCACAAAAACAAUGCAACAGAAAGAAAAAAAAUCAUUCAGAGCAAAACAAAACCAUCAAUUUAUGAGUUCAUUUUGGUUGAUAGUCGUGGAAAAAGGUAGUAAAAUAAAGCUAAAGCGAAAUCUCGAGAACAUCGUGGAGAAAAGCGAGACAUUUUAGACCCCAAAACAAAACCAAAAUCUAGCGAAAAAUGAUUGCGCGCAAAAAGAAUUACUUUGAAGUAAAAUCACUUCAGGCAGCAGCAAAUAAACGGAAAACGAGAAAGGCGAGACAAAAAAAUUAAAAUCCAACAUGGACACCACAUUCGUUUGGAAGAGUUAAUAAUUGUGUUGCUGGCAGCCUUUCGUGAACUUCGAACGCCCUGGAAACGUGCACAGCCUUUUGAAUUUAAAAACCGAUUUAGUAUGUAAAGCCGAAGAAAGCAAGACUAUGUAAAAACAAAAUAGCCGAAGCACUAUCGCUGACGAUAAAAAUACAAGUACGAUGGAAAAAGAGUAUUUUUGUAUCGAUAUUUUGUAAUCGUUGGUGUAUAAAAGCUUUUCGAAGCGCCACCUAAAUCCUACAUAAGAGUAUCAUAUUGAGGCACACCAGGUAUAGAAGAAAUUUUUAGAUAAAAUAAAUUGUGAAAACUUUGGCAAAACUAUCUUAGUUUAUGACAAAAAAUAUAAAACAUGAACCGUACAUUAAGGCACACAAUCCAUCUAAAAUAAAACUAUUUUAAUCAUUGUACAUAAAUCAAACCCUACUCGGUCGAUAACCAAUUCAUGAAAUUACCAAAGGCAACGUUUCCGAGCGGCGUUCGACUCGAUGGCAGCUCAGUGCACAAUCUGUACCCUCUUCUCAUUGUUGAGAAAAUGGAGUAACGUCAAAUCGAAUAUUUCUAUAUAUAUUCUGAGUGAUAUUUAUAGUUUGAAACGAGACGAAAGUGAAACCAACAGACAACCAUAAUAAGGAUCAGUUUUCAUAAAGUAGCAAACUUGUCAAGCGAUCGAAAGCUGUAAAACUAUGCGGAGACAUUUCGGAUACCAUUAGUCCCACGCUGGGAUGGGAAACCAGUGACCGGGACCUGUUAAUUUUAAGCGAAAUCCAAAAAACUUAAAACGACUAAAAGUUUUUAUAGAGCAAAAAACGAAGAGAACAAAUUGUCUGAUAAUUAUGGCAGUAUGGGAAAACGUACAAAAAGCAAACAAAUAAUAUCUUAUGUUUUGAAAUGACAUUUUCGUUUCUAUUGAUAAUUUAAGUGAAAGGUCUUAUUGUAAAGUAUAAACCAGAAACCCAAGAAGAAAACUACGACUAAAACUGAAUGCUAGAAUAAAAAAUAAAUUUUGAGCGAACAUUACGUGGGAGUUAAGCAAAAGCAAAACAAACCGAAAUCAGUCAGCACGAAAAGAAGAUUUUGUUGAACAAUGAAACGUUUAAACAAUAUAUAUAAAACGCAUGAAAAUACGACACUUACGUUUGAGAAUAUUUUUUCUCAAAAUUUCUAUCAAAAUUAUGAAUAAAAUUUAAGGGAAAACCCAAAAAAACAAGCGAGAAAAACUACUCACACAAAACAAGCUAAAAUUUAAACCAAAAGAAACCUACAGAAAAAUUGUAAAAAAGAAACUGUAAUAUAAUGGUCGAUUUCUAGAGGAAAAAUUAAACAUAAAUCCCAAAAUAAAAACACUAAAACAUACCUAACAAGUGGUUGACGCACAUUAUAAAACCGUUUCAAGGAGAAGAACAACAAAAAACAACAGCAAAUGAGCUGAACAUGCAGAGAGGAACGAGCAGAUAUGAGCUAAUAACGAGAAAAAUAAAACACGAGAGAUCAAAUGCAACACGAAAAAGAAGAAACAGCAGAUAAAAUCUUAAGA